rnacentral:lncRNA from 1 species
AUCUGAAACCGUGAUUCUUGGUGAUUCAUAAAUUACAGGUCAGAGGAUACUGUUACUUUGAGAGUCAAAAAAUGCACAUACAGGCAGCACAAAAUUAAUACCUGUGGCUUCUGACAAUAUAUUGAGGUCUUAUGAAGCGAAACGAUCUGUCUAUGCAAGAAACUGAAUAUUAUUUACAGCAUUAUUACCUGUAAUAAAACCUUCAUUCCGGCCCUUCAUUCAAGUGCUCGUUUCACGCAUGCCCAUAUCACUGGCUUGUGAAGUCAGAACUGUUUAGUUUGGUUACUUUUGGAGGAACUGGAGCGCUGAAUGAGUUCAUUCAUCAUAGGAUCAUAUAUGCCGGUAUUUUGGCUCAUUUCCAGUCGGUUCAACCAGUUUUGUUUCAACUAGUUCACCAAAAAGAAUUGGUUCACACACACACACACACACACACACACACACACACACACACACACACACACACAGACACACACACAGACAAAGAAAGUGAAUUUUUGCUUCCUCAUUUCAGGAGCUCAGAAAUCCACCCCAUGCCACUGAUAUGUUUGUCCUCCUGUAAGCAUGACUUCCUCCUUAAAUCAAAGACCUGCUACAGCUGCUGCACACACAAACACAGCGGUGUGUCACUCACCAUGACAGAUGCUGACAGAAUGAAAGAUUCAUGCAAGUCACCACCUUCACAUCUCACCCUUCACAAAAAGGCCAUCCAAUAUAGGGAAGAAGAUGGAGUGAUAUAUCUCAGGCUAACCUGACCAUCUGUGACACCAUGAAAUGCCAGAGCUAAAUUGUCUUCACUGGAGGGGAGUGUGACGUGUGUGUGUGUGGAGCAACUGCAAUCAAAUCCCUGGAUGUAUCUGACACAAACAGCUUCCAGAGGAAACAAAGAAGAUGGUGCAUAUCUGCUGAGGGAUGAAGAUUUUAUUGGCCAAGACAAUACUGAUUACUUUAUCAUUUUCCAAACAACUUGUAAAGCAUAUUGUCUAUAAACAAACAACGUAAUUAAUAAUUAACCUUCCCCGACCGAAUUCACCCAUUAAAGUGAACUGAGCCCUUGAGAAGAGGCAAAGCCAUUUUCCACGCUUGUUGAAAAUCAGCGUUAAAUCACUUCAGAAAUCAAUGGGCAUUCCAAUUG